rnacentral:lncRNA from 1 species
GUUGCCCUUCAAUAGAUGAAUAGAUAAAAAAAAUGUGGCAUUUAUACAUAAUGGAAUAUUACUCUGCUCUAAAAAAUGACAAAAUCAUGGAAUUUGCAGGGAAAUGGAUGACACUAGAGCAGAUUAUGCUAAGUGAAGCUAGCCAAUCCCUAAAAAAAUAAAUGCCAAAUGUCUUCUUUGAUAUAAGGAGAGCAACUAAGAACAAAAUAGAGAGGAAGAGCAUGAGAAGAUCACCACUAAACAGG